AUGCAUGAUAUGGCACAACUAGUCUCAGCUGAUGAGUGCUUCAUUAUAAAGCAUGCUAGGGACCUAGAUAAUGUUCCUUCAAAUGUCCGCCAUCUGUCAAUAUUGACAAACGGAGAAGUUCGAUGUUCUGAAUUGAAGAGCAUAUGCAACAAGAAAAAAUUGAGGACCCUGAUAUGUGAUGAAUCAUUUAGCAGUGCAGAAGAUUUUGAGCCCGUGAUAAACUGUUGGUUCAAGGAACUGUUGAAAAUCCGUGUACUGAGUAUUAAACUUUCCAGCGUAGUACAGCUACCAGAGAGCAUGGGCAACUCAAAGCAUCUGCGUUACCUUCGUCUUCUUGGAAGUUCAACUUCCUGCACAUUUCCUUCAUCGGCUUGUCGUCUGCAUCGUCUCAAAGUGGUAGAGGGUGGUAGUUGUUUGAUUCAAAGGUUUCCCCCAGACUUCAGUGAUGCCAUCAGCUUACAGAAAAUCAAUUCAAAGGGUUUUGAUUAUAACAAGGACCACUCUGGGAAACUCUGCCUAAAUUGGCCCGAUUCGCAAAUUCCUGAGACGGUGAAGAUGAUGGAAAACCAGAUGGAAGUAUUACCUCACUUGGAUCUCCAACAUUUGAGUGUAAAUGGUUACGGAGGUGAAUCUUGUCCUAGCUGGCUCCGGCCCAACCUGCUGCCAAUGUUGCGCUCCCUUGAAUUUCAUAAGUGUGAUAACUUGAAAAGCACAUCAUUCUUUGUCCCGUUGGAGGGAUCAGUUGACAAUACAGCAUCUUCAGACAACCGUCUUGAAGAAUUAGUCAUAAAAUCUUGUGGUCAAAUCAAUUGGCAAGGCUCGGUGGUCCUACCAACUUCUCUUAGAAGGCUAAUACUUGAUAGAUCAGGCAAUUUCAUGGAUCACUUUGUGAGGUGCUUCCUUGACCUCACCUCCCUCACUCAUUUGUGCAUAAUUCGCUGCGAGUCUUGA
rnacentral:rRNA from 1 species